rnacentral:tRNA from 1 species
ACGGAAGAAACUCAUUCUGUUGGGAGUGAAAAAUGUUGUAAGUUCGAGUCUUACCUUCCGUA